rnacentral:snRNA from 1 species
GUGCUUUAACCACUGUGCCACCAGGGCUUCUUAAAAAAUAUGGAAACCCAAACAAAUUUGGCAGCACAUAUACUCAAAUUAGAAAGAUACAGAGAAGAUUAGCAUGGCCUUACACAAAGGAUGACACAUAAAUAUGUGGUAUAUGUAUGUAUAU